rnacentral:rRNA from 1 species
AUGAACGCUGGCGGCGUGCCUAAUACAUGCAAGUCGAGCGAACAGACGAGGAGCUUGCUCCUCUGACGUUAGCGGCGGACGGGUGAGUAACACGUGGAUAACCUACCUAUAAGACUGGGAUAACUUCGGGAAACCGGAGCUAAUACCGGAUAAUAUAUUGAACCGCAUGGUUCAAUAGUGAAAGACGGUUUUGCUGUCACUUAUAGAUGGAUCCGCGCCGCAUUAGCUAGUUGGUAAGGUAACGGCUUACCAAGGCAACGAUGCGUAGCCGACCUGAGAGGGUGAUCGGCCACACUGGAACUGAGACACGGUCCAGACUCCUACGGGAGGAAGCAGUAGGGAAUCUUCCGCAAUGGGCGAAAGCUUGACGGAGCAACGCCGCGUGAGUGAUGAAGGUCUUCGGAUCGUAAAACUCUGUUAUUAGGGAAGAACAAAUGUGUAAGUAACUAUGCACGUCUUGACGGUACCUAAUCAGAAAGCCACGGCUAACUACGUG